rnacentral:rRNA from 1 species
ACCUCAGCUCAAGCAAGAAAACCCGCUGAACUUAAGCAUAUCAAUAAGCGGAGGAAAAGAAACUAACAAGGAUUCCCCUAGUAACGGCGAGUGAAGAGGGAAAAGCUCAAAUUUUAAAUCUACCUGGUUCCCAGGUCGAAUUGUAUUUUGAAGAAUCGAUAUCGGUGUUGAGGUCUGGUUCAAGUUCUUUGGAACAAGACAUCAUGGAGGGUGAGAAUCCCGUGCAUGAUCAGACCAAGAUACUUUAUAUUCGUUUUCUAAGAGUCGAGUUGUUUGGGAAUGCAGCUCAAAUUGGGUGGUAGACUUCACCUAAGGCUAAAUAUCAGCGAGAGACCGAUAGCGAACAAGUACUGUGAAGGAAAGAUGAAAAGCACUUUGAAAAGAGAGUUAAAUAGUACGUGAAAUUGUUGAAAGGGAAACGAUUGAAGUCAGUCAUGCUAGUGAAAAUUCAGUUUGACGGGUUUUGGGUUUAGGAGUAAGAGAUAGGGUCAAACCAUCUCUCUUUUAAACUUGGGAUUUGUCGGAUGCACUUUUUCUUUGGCAGGUCAGCGUCGAUUUCGGGGGUUGUAAAAUACUUGGGGGAAAGUAGCUCUGCUUCGGGAGAGUGUUAUAGACCUUGGGAGAUGCAGCCCGUGGGAUCGAGGAUUGCAGCAAAUGCCUUUGGCUUGUCUUCUGAUCUUUGAUUGUUACCUCGUUUAUGACAACAUUCUUGCCAUCGAUGAGUACUAGUGGUUAUGGGUUAGAAUGAUCAAAAAUUUGCUAAGGAUGCUGACGUAAUGGCUUUAAACGACCCGUCUUGAAACACGGACCAAGGAGUCUAACAUAUAUGCGAGUGUUC